GCCAAAAAUUGAUAGGACUAGUCACGCUAGUCACAGGUGUGGAAUGGAACACCUGGCGUACGGCUCAGUAACACGCAUUGAACCUACCCUAAGGACAGGGACAACCACGGGAAACUGUGCCUAAUCCCAGAUAGGAAAUUUGGCCUGGAACGGUAUCUUUCCCAAAACCGACCCGCCGUGGGAGACGGGCCUUAGGAUGGCGCUGCGGCCGAUUAUGCUUGACGGCGGUGUAAAGGACCACCGUGGCGACGAUCGGUAUGGGCGAUGGAAGUCGGAGCCCAGAGUCGGCUACUGAGACAAGGAGCCGAGCCUUACGAGGCUUAGCGGUCGCGAAAACUCGCCAAUGCACGAAAGUGUGAGUGGGCUAAUCCAAGUGUCUUUCUUACGGAAGACUGCCGCCCAGUAUUACUAGCUGGGAAAGGAAGGAGUGGGCAAGGCUGGUGCCAGCCGCCGCGGUAAAACCAGCACUUCGAGUGGUCAGGACGUAUAUUGGGUCUAAAGCGUUCGUAGCGGGGCAUGUAGGUCCUUGGUUAAACCCGGCAGCAUAACUGCUGGUCAGCUGAGGAUACCGCAAGCCUUGAGAGCGGGAUAGGACAGGGGUAGUCUAUGGGCAGGGGUGAAAUCCAGUGAUCCAUAGGCGACCACCGAUGGCGAAGGCACCUGUCUGGAACGUAUCUGACCGUGAUGGACGAAAGCCAGGGGAGCGACCCGGAUUAGAUACCCGGUUAGUCCUGGCCGUAAACGAUGCCGACUAGGUGUUACAGCGGCCAAGAGCCACUGUAGUGCCACAGUGAAGACGUUAAGUCGGCCACCUGGGGAGUACGGUCGCAAGACUGAAACUCAAAGGAAU
rnacentral:rRNA from 1 species